rnacentral:rRNA from 1 species
AGUGAACGCUGGCGGUAGGCCUAACACAUGCAAGUCGAACGGCAGCACAGUAAGAGCUUGCCCUUACGGGUGGCGAGUGGCGGACGGGUGAGGAAUACAUCGGAAUCUACUUUUUCGUGGGGGAUAACGUAGUGAAACUUACGCUAAUACCGCAUACGACCUACGGGUUAAAGCAGGGGAUCUUCGGACCUUGCGCGAUUGAAUGAGCCGCUGUCGGAUUAGCUAGUUGGCGGGGUAAAGGCCCACCAAGGCGACGAUCCGUAGCUGGUCUGAGAGGAUGAUCAGCCACACUGGAACUGAGACACGGUCCAGACUCCUACGGGAGGCAGCAGUGGGGAAUAUUGGACAAAGGGCGCAAGCCUGAUCCAGCCAUACCGCGUGGGUGAAGAAGGCCUUCGGGUUGUAAAGCCCUUUUGUUGGGAAAGAAAAGCAGCAGGUUAAUACCCCGCUGUUCUGACGGUACCCAAAGAAUAAGCACCGGCUAACUUCGUG